rnacentral:rRNA from 1 species
GACGAACGCUGGCGGCGUGCCUAAUACAUGCAAGUAGAACGCUGAAGAGAGGAGCUUGCUCUUCUUGGAUGAGUUGCGAACGGGUGAGUAACGCGUAGGUAACCUGCCUUGUAGCGGGGGAUAACUAUUGGAAACGAUAGCUAAUACCGCAUAACAAUGGAUGACUCAUGUCAUUUAUUUGAAAGGGGCAAAUGCUCCACUACAAGAUGGACCUGCGUUGUAUUAGCUAGUAGGUGAGGUAACGGCUCACCUAGGCGACGAUACAUAGCCGACCUGAGAGGGUGAUCGGCCACACUGGGACUGAGACACGGCCCAGACUCCUACGGGAGGCAGCAGUAGGGAAUCUUCGGCAAUGGGGGCAACCCUGACCGAGCAACGCCGCGUGAGUGAAGAAGGUUUUCGGAUCGUAAAGCUCUGUUGUAAGUCAAGAACGAGUGUGAGAGUGGAAAGUUCACACUGUGACGGUAGCUUACCAGAAAGGGACGGCUAACUACGUGCCAGCAGCCGCGGUAAUACGUAGGUCCCGAGCGUUGUCCGGAUUUAUUGGGCGUAAAGCGAGCGCAGGCGGUUUGAUAAGUCUGAAGUUAAAGGCUGUGGCUCAACCAUAGUUCGCUUUGGAAACUGUCAAACUUGAGUGCAGAAGGGGAGAGUGGAAUUCCAUGUGUAGCGGUGAAAUGCGUAGAUAUAUGGAGGAACACCGGUGGCGAAAGCGGCUCUCUGGUCUGUAACUGACGCUGACGCUCGAAAGCGUGGGGAGCGAACAAG